UGGGGAAUAUUGCACAAUGGGCGCAAGCCUGAUGCAGCCAUGCCGCGUGUAUGAAGAAGGCCUUCGGGUUGUAAAGCUCUUUCAGGUGGAAAGAAAACGCAUAGGUUAAUACCUUGUGCGGAUGACGGUACCAUCAGAAGAAGCACCGGCUAACUACGUGCCAGCAGCCGCGGUAAUACGUAGGGUGCGAGCGUUAAUCGGAAUUACUGGGCGUAAAGCGUGCGCAGGCGGUUAUGCAAGACAGAGGUGAAAUCCCCGGGCUCAACCUGGGAACUGCCUUUGUGACUGCAUAGCUAGAGUACGGUAGAGGGGGAUGGAAUUCCGCGUGUAGCAGUGAAAUGCGUAGAUAUGCGGAGGAACACCGAUGGCGAAGGCAGCCUCCUGGGCCAGUACUGACGCUCAUGCACGAAAGCGUGGGGAGCAAACA
rnacentral:rRNA from 1 species